CCCCAAAUUCUGUGUGCGCGAUGAGGAUUUUCGGAAUUUGAAGUGUUUUCACCUUUGGAGGAGGAAAAAACGCUCCCUUCAGAGGAGGUGAGGGCUAAAUACAUGAGAGCCGCGGCGAAAUACGCAUGUGACGAGGGUAAUCCGGAUAUAUUGGGCGUUUAACGCGACUAUGGGGGUAUAUGAGUCUCAGGUGAAAAUGCGGGGUCUCCUCUGUAUAUCGUUGUAAAACUUAUAACUAGAGUGCUGGAGAGGAGGCGGGGAUACACGAGUUAGGUGUAAUUUCUGAUAUAUGGGGAUACCGCUAUGUAAGGAGAGCACUGGGAGAUAAGUGGCUAUAGGCGCAAGCUGGUAUAAAACGAAAAGAUACCUGGAAACCAAAGUGAAAUUCCCAUUUGAGCGCACUGGGAUCUCUUGUGUUCCGGGGGCCCCACGGGUAGCGAGUCCCCCUAGAGUCCCGUUUCCCCAACGAUGCAUAACUACACACCUGUCACUGAUAACACUGCGUCCUGACUACCCGCUUUACAACUCAUCGUCUCAAGAGUCCUGUUCGAUGUUGUGA
rnacentral:rRNA from 1 species